UAUACGGAGGAGCAGCGUUAUCCGGAUCAUCGGGCGUAAAGCGCCUGUAGGUUGUUUAAUAAGUCUGUUGUUAAAGCCUAGGGCUUAACCCUARAAAAGCAAUGGAAACUACUAKACUAGAGUAUGGCAGGGGUAGAGGGAAUUUCUAGUGUAGCGGUGAAAUGCGUAGAUAUUAGAAAGAACACCAGUGGCGAAAGCGCUCUACUGGACCAUUACUGACACUCAGAGGCGAAAGCUAGGGUAGCAAAAGGGAUUAGAUACCCCUGUAGUCCUAGCCGUAAACGAUGGAUACUAGAUGUUGUGCAUAGAGUACAGUAUCCUAGCUAACGCGUUAAGUAUCCCGCCUGGGGAGUACGCUCGCAAGGGUGAAACUCAAAGGAAUUGACGGGGGCCCGCACAAGCGGUGGAGCAUGUGGUUUAAUUCGAUACAACGCGAAGAACCUUACCAGGGCUUGACAUACUACGGAUUCUUUUGAGAAAAAGAAGUGCCUUCGGGAACGUAGAUACAGGUGGUGCAUGGCUGUCGUCAGCUCGUGUCGUGAGAUGUUGGGUUAAGUCCCGCAACGAGCGCAACCCUUAUUUUUAGUUACUAAUUCGUUAGGUUCUCUAGAAAGACUGCCGGUGACAAACCGGAGGAAGGUGAGGAUGACGUCAAGUCAGCAUGCCCCUUAUGCCCUGGGCUACACACGUGCUACAAUGGUUAAGACAAAGAGUCGCGAGCCUGUAAAAGUCA
rnacentral:rRNA from 1 species